rnacentral:rRNA from 1 species
AUUGAACGCUGGCGGCAGGACUACCACAUGAAAGUCGAGCGGAGCGGCGGACGGGUGAGUAAUGCCUAGGAAUCUGCCUGGUAGUGGGGGAUAACGUCCGGAAACGGGCGCUAAUACCGCAUACUAUCAGAUGAACCUAGGUGGGAUUAGCUAGUUGGUGGGGUAAAGGCCUACCAAGUCGACGAUCCGUACCUGGUCUGAGAGGAUGAUCAGUCACCCUGGAACUGAGACACGGUCCAGACUCCUACGGACGGCAGCAGUGUGGAAUAUUGGACAAUGGGCGAAAGCCUGAUCCGGCCUUGCCGCUUGUGUGAAGAAGGUCUUCGGAUUGUAAAGCACUUUACGUUGGGAUGCGUUACCAACAGAAUAAGCACCGGCUAACGUCGUGCCAGCAGCCGCGGUAAUUC